rnacentral:rRNA from 1 species
AUUGAACGCUGGCGGCAGGCCUAACACAUGCAAGUCGAACGAGUGGCGGACGGGUGAGUAAUGUCUGGGCAACUGCCUGAUGGCGGGGGUUAACUACUGGAAACGGUCGCUAAUACCGCCUAACAUCGAAUGUGGCCAGAUGGGAUUAGCUAGAAGGUGGGGUAACGGCUCACCUAGGCGACGAUCCCUAGCUGGUCUGAGAGGAUGACCAUCGAGACUGGAACUGAGACACGGUCCAGACUCCGACGGGAGGCAGCAGUGGGGAAUAUUGCACAAGGGGCUCAAGCCUGAUGCAGCCAUGCCGAGUGGAUGAAGAAGGCCUUCGGGUGGUAAAGUACUUUCAGCGAGGAGGCGUUACGCGCAGAAGAAGCAUCGGCUAACUCCGUGCCAGCAGCCGCGGUAAUUC